UACGGAGAGUGCGAGCGUUGUUCGGAAUUACUGGGCGUAAAGGGCGUCUAGGCGGCCUGCCAAGUCAGGUGUGAAAUCCCUCGGCUCAACCGAGGACGUGCAUCUGAAACUGGCGGGCUUGAGUACUGGAGGGGGCAGCGGAAUUCCCGGUGUAGAGGUGAAAUUCGUAGAUAUCGGGAGGAACACCAGUGGCGAAGGCGGCUGCCUGGCCAGAUACUGACGCUGAAGCGCGAAAGCGUGGGGAGCAAACAGG
rnacentral:rRNA from 1 species